CUUUAUAGUUUGAAUAUGCAUAGCCCGGGCUUGGCUCACUGCAUUCCUAUCUAUUUGGUUUUAAUUGGGUGGUCAGAUAUAUAUCCAACAAUUUCAAAAUAAAUACACCUUAGCAGAACAAAUUACUUCUUAUUUAAUAUGUUUUUCUGGCAUCUUUGUCUUUCACCUAAAAGGUCCUAACACUGUAGCACAUUGCAGACACCAGACUCCUGCCA
rnacentral:lncRNA from 1 species